GAUGAAGAACGUAGCAAAAUGCGAUACGUAAUGUGAAUUGCAGAAUUCAGUGAAUCAUCGAGUCUUUGAACGCACAUUGCGCCCCCUGGUAUUCCGGGGGGCAUGCCUGUCCGAGCGUCAUUGCUGCCCUCAAGCACGGCUUGUGUGUUGGGCCUCCGUCCUCCUCCCGGGGGACGGGCCCGAAAGGCAGCGGCGGCACCGCGUCCGGUCCUCGAGCGUAUGGGGCUUCGUCACCCGCUCUUGUAGGCCCGGCCGGCGCUUGCCGACACAUCAAUCUUUUUUCCAGGUUGACCUCGGAUCAGGUAGGGAUACCCGCUGAACUUAAGCAUAUCAAUAAGCGGAGGA
rnacentral:misc_RNA from 1 species